CAAGUCGAGGGGCAUCAGUUUGGUUUGCUUGCAAACCAAAGCUGGCGACCGGCGCACGGGUGAGUAACACGUAUCCAACCUGCCUCAUACUCGGGGAUAGCCUUUCGAAAGAAAGAUUAAUAUCCGAUAGCAUAUAUUUCCCGCAUGGGUUUUAUAUUAAAGAAAUUCGGUAUGAGAUGGGGAUGCGUUCCAUUAGUUUGUUGGGGGGGUAACGGCCCACCAAGACUACGAUGGAUAGGGGUUCUGAGAGGAAGGUCCCCCACAUUGGAACUGAGACACGGUCCAAACUCCUACGGGAGGCAGCAGUGAGGAAUAUUGGUCAAUGGACGCGAGUCUGAACCAGCCAAGUAGCGUGAAGGAUGACUGCCCUAUGGGUUGUAAACUUCUUUUAUAUGGGAAUAAAGUUGUCCACGUGUGGAUUUUUGUAUGUACCAUAUGAAUAAGGAUCGGCUAACUCCGUGCCAGCAGCCGCGGUAAUACGGAGGAUCCGAGCGUUAUCCGGAUUUAUUGGGUUUAAAGGGAGCGUAGGCGGAUUGUUAAGUCAGUUGUGAAAGUUUGCGGCUCAACCGUAAAAUUGCAGUUGAUACUGGCAGUCUUGAGUGCAGUAGAGGUGGGCGGAAUUCGUGGUGUAGCGGUGAAAUGCUUAGAUAUCACGAAGAACUCCGAUUGCGAAGGCAGCUCACUGGAGUGUAACUGACGCUGAUGCUCGAAAGUGUGGGUAUCAAACAGGAUUAGAUACCCUGGUAGUCCACACAGUAAACGAUGAAUACUCGCUGUUUGCGAUAUACAGUAAGCGGCCAAGCGAAAGCAUUAAGUAUUCCACCUGGGGAGUACGC
rnacentral:rRNA from 1 species